rnacentral:rRNA from 1 species
UACGAAGGGGGCGAGCGUUGUUCGGAUUUACUGGGCGUAAAGGGCGCGCAGGCGGUCUUGAAAGUCAGGCGUGAAAGCCCCGGGCUUAACCUGGGAAUUGCGCUUGAUACUCUGAGACUGGAGUACGGGAGAGGAGAGUGGAAUUCCCAGUGUAGAGGUGAAAUUCGUAGAUAUUGGGAAGAACACCAGUGGCGAAGGCGGCUCACUGGCUCGUAACUGACGCUCAGGCGCGACAGCGUGGGGAUCAAACAGG